rnacentral:lncRNA from 1 species
CCCACCCCAACUCCAUCCCUUUCCCUUCCCAAGGACAGCCAGCCCUGGGCCCAGCCAGGCCAGGCCGGAGGGCUUCACACUGUCUAGGAAUGCUGGGACACAAACAAUGGCACCAGGAGUUGCAAGUAAAAGAAGCUUUGCACUCCCCAGCAGAUGAGCCCAGAAUUCAGGUGGCCAAUAUCUGGAGGGAGGAAUAUGACCACCCAAAUGUUCCACUUUUGCUCCACUUCACUGUUCCAGGGGUUUAUUCCCAGCUUUCCGUAUUGCAGAGACACCCAAACCCAACAAAAAUAUGAUCUGCCUCAAAACUUCCCUGAUCUUGGCAGUUCCUGACAUUUCAAAAUCUCCUUAAUGGAAAUAUCAUGGGGCAGGUCAUUCUGAAAUACUCUCCCACAGAGCAGUUAAAACUAAUCAUGCUUGAUUUGGCAGAACUAAUUGUGAGCCAAAGGUCCAGUGGGUCUCAUCCCUUUUUCUCCAUCAGCUAAACUAUUUCUUCAAGUCUCAUCUCUCCAAUAUGUUCAAAGAAGCUUUGCAGUCUGCAUUAGAUGCCCCCAGUAUUCAGUGGGCCAAUAUGAUCAUUGUAGCUGUAGGGUGUAAAUUGGCCAUGCAGAGUUCUCCUUCAUUGUGGCAGUGCUUUAUUCCUGCUUGCUUUCCUGCAGACACACCCAAACCCAACGUUACAAAACCGGCCUCAAAACAAUUCUCAUUUUGACUGUCCCUGAAAAUUCAAAGCUAUACUAAAAGCAUUUUUUUAUUUUUCCCUUUAUUAUUGGAUCUGUUCAAACAUGCUGUAGACUGAAAAAAACCCAGACAAACCCCGGCAUCUCACACCCUUGGCCCACCAGGGCCUGGGCCUCGACACUUUCCGGUGUCGGAGAGACUGAGAAGAACCUGAGCAAGCUGAGCUACACCACACGAAAAGGACUUUUUUUCCUGGAUUUGCCAUCUCAUCGAACAGCAAAAGGUUUUAUUGUUUAAUAUUAUUCCAUUUCUGUUAAAUAAACAGUUUUUUCCACUUCUCUCCA